rnacentral:snRNA from 1 species
AUACUUACCUGGUAGGGGAAACACGUUGUAUCUAAGAAGGCAGUUUUCCUUAAGCAUUCCCAGGGAUAACUGUUCUUCUGGCAUGGUUUAGUACCUGCUGAGGUGCUGGGGCUACAACCCUAAUUUAUGGAAAUAGGAGGCUUUUCCCUAGCUUGCUCCUG